AUACUGGGAUUACAAGUAUGCACAGGAAUUCCAGGUUUAUCCAGGUUCAUCAAGCCCAAGGCUUGGUGCAUGCUAAGGAAGCAGUUUCCCAGCUGAGCGACAUUCCAAGCCUGAGGAAGAAAUCCUGUUACGUUGCACCAUCUAUUCUUACUGGGUAAACUGAAAGUUACCAUGAGAAGAUUAGACUGGGGCACCUGAAUAUCUCAGAACAGCACACAGGAACACAACACACCCAAUCAUAAAUGGAAACAUACAUCUGCUUCUGUCUGAGAUCCCUGCCUAUUGGAUGGUGCCGUCUACAUUUAGGGUUAAGUUGCUCCUGCUGUAAAGAUGAUCAGUGAAAUGGGUGCUGGCAGCACAAAACAGAAGAGGCAGUGAGCAUGGAUAGCUGA